CAUGGGAAAGAGAGGUCCGUUCUGUUAAAACAGCAUUGCGGGUGGUACUCGGCAGUCAAACCGUAUCAGAGGAAGUCCUACGGACCGUUUUGACAGAAGUUGAAGGAGUGUUAAAUUCAAAGCCACUUGGUUACGCCUCUUCAAAUAUUUCAGAUCUCGACCCCAUUACUCCAAAUCUCCUCCUCAUGGGGCGGCGAGAUUCGUCUUUACCUCAGGUGAUUUAUGCCAAUACUAAGCUCCUUGGCCGCAGAUCUUGGCGCCACAGCCAGGCCCUCGUUGACCAGUUUUGGACAUCUUUUAUCCGACAUUACUUACCAGGUCAGCAGCUCCGUCAAAAAUGGAAUCGAGAAAAACCUCAUCUAAAUGACUCUGCUGUCGUGUUAGUAAUUGAUUUUCAACUCCCAAGAGCAUCAUGGCCCAUUGGCAGGGUAGUACGCCUCUUACCUAGUCAGGAUGGACGUGUCAGAGUAGCUGAGAUUGAUAUUAAUGGAAAGACGUAUGUACGUCCAGUUGCUAAGUUGAUUCCAUUACCUGAAAUAGAUGAGUAAUAGCAAAUACAUGACUGUAUUUGGGGGCGGCUGUUGUGAAUUUGAUCCUUUAAUUAUACUUUUUUUUUUUUUUUCUUUCUCCUUACAUAUUUGCACUUCAUAUCCCACAAUCCUUUUGUCAGUUUCACUACAUUACCCAUACACCCCCUGGGCAAGGUCUAUAAGUAGACCUCACUUCCUCCCUUUUUUCCUUUUGUAUUGGUGAGGUGUGGUGGUUGGAAUGGACACCCAACCAUGUCCUUUCCUUAGGAUGCGUUGAUGACUAAAGACCAUCUUGUACGUCCUGUUUAUCCUGUCCCUCCAUUAACAUCUGUUCAUUGGCAUCAUGUGUGUCAGCUCCAUGUGAAUUAAGACUUUAUCAUCCUGAACUGAAAAUAAAAGAGAGCAAAGGACUG